UACGAAGGGGGCUAGCGUUGCUCGGAAUCACUGGGCGUAAAGGGUGCGUAGGCGGGUCUUUAAGUCAGGGGUGAAAUCCUGGAGCUCAACUCCAGAACUGCCUUUGAUACUGAGGAUCUUGAGUAUGGGAGAGGUGAGUGGAACUGCGAGUGUAGAGGUGAAAUUCGUAGAUAUUCGCAAGAACACCAGUGGCGAAGGCGGCUCACUGGCCCAUUACUGACGCUGAGGCACGAAAGCGUGGGGAGCAAACAGA
rnacentral:rRNA from 1 species